CAGCAGUGGGGAAUAUUGCACAAUGGGCGCAAGCCUGAUGCAGCCAUGCCGCGUGUGUGAAGAAGGCCUUCGGGUUGUAAAGCACUUUCAGUUGUGAGGAAGGUGGUGUCGUUAAUAGCGGCAUCAUUUGACGUUAGCAACAGAAGAAGCACCGGCUAACUCCGUGCCAGCAGCCGCGGUAAUACGGAGGGUGCGAGCGUUAAUCGGAAUUACUGGGCGUAAAGCGCAUGCAGGUGGUUUGUUAAGUCACGAUGUGAAAAGCCCGGGGCUCAACCUCGGAACUGCAUUUGAAACUGGCAGACUAGAGUACUGUAGAGGGGGUAGAAUUUCAGGUGUAGCGGUGAAAUGCGUAGAGAUCUGAAGGAAUACCGGUGGCGAAGGCGGCCCCCUGGACAGAUACUGACACUCAGAUGCGAAAGCGUGGGGAGCAAACAGGAUUAGAUACCCUGGUAG
rnacentral:rRNA from 1 species